ACUGGUCUCACAGCCAGCUGCACAUAGAGACCAGUGUUGUUAGUCCAGGUCAGAAGAUGACUUGUUGGAAUGAAAAUGAGCUUGUAGUUUGUCUGCUUUAAUAAUGUGACUGGAAAAAGGUGUUGGACUUCAAAUAUGUCCAUUUCUGUCACACUUCACCUUUAAAAGUGAAGCCAUGUGGUUCCUGGAAGGAAAAACACGACUUUUUCAAGUCUUUGUCCUGUUUUUAUGAGAAAUGUACGACUUUAAUGUGAAACAUUCAGAGUUUUUUCUCUUGUUGUGUUUGUUUGAAGCUGCUUCCUGUUGGCUUCAGCUGUUUGGAGUUUCCAUUUUCUAAACUUCUACAUUCUGAACCUUCUUCAGCUCUGAACAGAUGAUGAAACACUGAAUGAUUUCAAGCACUUUGUCUAAUAAACUUACAUCUUUCAUUCUUUAUACAGAUUGAGGGACUGUGGUUUGUCAGAGAUCAGCUGUGAUUAUCUGGCAGCAGCACUGAAGUCCAACCCCUCCCAUCUGAGAGAGCUGGACCUGAGCUACAACAACAACCUGCAGGAUCCAGGAGUGAAGCAUCUGUGUGGUUUCCUGGAGAGUCCAGGAUGUAAACUUGAAACUCUGAGAUUGUGGAGCUGUGGUUUGUCAGAGAUCAGCUGUGAUUAUCUGGCAGCAGCACUGAAGUCCAACCCCUCCCAUCUGAGAGAGCUGGACCUGAGAAACAAGCUGCAGGAUCCAGGAGUGAAGCAUCUGUGUGGUUUCCUGGAGAGUCCAGGAUGUGGACUUGAAACUCUGAGGUCAGUCAGCAUGUUUUAGUUGUGCUGAGAUGAAUAUGAUGUGAAAGUUGUGCUGACACUAAACUGCAGACAUCAGGCUGAUAUUAUACUGAUCCACACUGAGGAUCUUCAUGGUAAAGUCUGUUUUCUUCUUCUCUGGUUUAGUCCAUUGACUGCAGCAGAACAAUGUUCACAUUUCAAACCUUCAAAGAAGAA